GCCUGGGUGGCUCAGUCAGUUGAGCAUCUGACUUCGGCUCAGGUCAUGAACUCACUGUUUGUGGGUUCGAGCCCCGUGUUGGGCU
rnacentral:tRNA from 1 species